rnacentral:rRNA from 1 species
AGUGAACGCUGGCGGCAGGCCUAACACAUGCAAGUCGAACGGUAGCACAGAGGAGCUUGCUCCUUGGGUGACGAGUGGCGGACGGGAGAGGAAUACAUCGGAAUCUACCCUGUCGUGGGGGAUAACGUAGGGAAACUUACGCUAAUACCGCAUACGAACUGAGGUUGAAAGCGGCGGACCGCAAGGCGUCGCGCGAUUGGAUGAGCCGAUGUCCGAUUAGCUAGUUGGCGGGGUAAAGGCCCACCAAGGCGACGAUCGGUAGCUGGUCUGAGAGGAUGAUCAGCCACACUGGAACUGAGACACGGUCCAGACUCCUACGGGAGGCAGCAGUGGGGGAAUAUUGGACAAUGGGCGCAAGCCUGAUCCAGCCAUGCCGCGUGUGUGAAGAAGGCC